UACAGAGGGGCAAGCGUUAUUCGGAAUUACUGGGCGUAAAGGGCGCGUAGGCGGCCUCCUAAGUCAGACGUGAAAUCCCUCGGCUCAACCGGGGAACUGCGUCUGAUACUGGGAGGCUUGAAUCCGGGAGAGGGAUGUGGAAUUCCAGGUGUAGCGGUGAAAUGCGUAGAUAUCUGGAAGAACACCGGUGGCGAAGGCGG
rnacentral:rRNA from 1 species